rnacentral:rRNA from 1 species
CGCCCGCCGGCGACCGGCGCACGGGUGAGUAACACGUAUGCAACCUGGCCGCCACAGGGGAUAACCCGCGGAAACGCGGCCUAAUACCCCGUGACGCCACCGGAGGGCGUCCUCCGGUGGCCAAAGGAGCGAUCCGGUGGGCGGAUGGGCAUGCGGCGCAUUAGCUAGACGGCGGGGUGACGGCCCACCGUGGCGACGAUGCGUAGGGGUUCUGAGAGGAAGGCCCCCCACACUGGGACUGAGACACGGCCCAGACUCCUACGGGAGGCAGCAG